AGAAUCAACGCUGGCGGCGUGCCUAACACAUGCAAGUCGAACGAGAAAGGGGAGCAAUCCCUGAGUAAAGUGGCGACCGGGUGAGUAACACGUGACUAACCUACCCUCGAGUGUGGAAUAACAUCGGGAAAACCGAUGCUAAUACCGCAUAACAUCGGCGCUUUUAAGAGAUGCCGAUCAAAGGAGCAAUCCGCUUGAGGAGGGGGUCGCGGCUGAUUAGCUAGUUGGCGGGUAACGGCCCACCAAGGCGAAGAUCGGUA
rnacentral:rRNA from 1 species